UUGAACGCUGGCGGCAGGCCUAACACAUGCCAGUCGAACGGUAACAGGAAGAAGCUUGCUUCUUUGCUGACGAGUGGCGGACGGGUGAGUAAUGUCUGGGAAACUGCCUGAUGGAGGGGGAUAACUACUGGAAACGGUAGCUAAUACCGCAUAACGUCGCAAGACCAAAGAGGGGGACCUUCGGGCCUCUUGCCAUCGGAUGUGCCCAGAUGGGAUUAGCUAGUAGGUGGGGUAACGGCUCACCUAGGCGACGAUCCCUAGCUGGUCUGAGAGGAUGACCAGCCACACUGGAACUGAGACACGGUCCAGACUCCUACGGGAGGCAGCAGUGGGGAAUAUUGCACAAUGGGCGCAAGCCUGAUGCAGCCAUGCCGCGUGUAUGAAGAAGGCCUUCGGGUUGUAAAGUACUUUCAGCGGGGAGGAAGGGAGUAAAGUUAAUACCUUGGCUAAUUGACGUUACCCGCAGAAGAAGCACCGGCUAACUCCGUG
rnacentral:rRNA from 1 species